rnacentral:misc_RNA from 1 species
CCGAGUUAGGGUCUCCUCCGUGAGGCCCGACCUCCCAACCCCGUGUCUAAUAAACCUGUUUGUGUUGCUUCGGCGGAACGGCAGUCGUUUCUCUCCUUCACCGGGGGGAGAUAACCGUCGCCGGGGGAUAUACGGUCUCACGACCGCCCCUGGAGAGCGUCCGCCGAUGGCCCCAAUCAAAACUACCAAACCCAAACCAUGGAACUAAAAUUUUCUGAAUCAGACUUUUGAUAUACCAAUCAAAAACA